rnacentral:rRNA from 1 species
CACUCCUACGGGAGGCAGCAGUGGGGAAUUUUGGACAAUGGGCGAAAGCCUGAUCCAGCAAUGCCGCGUGAGUGAAGAAGGCCUUCGGGUUGUAAAGCUCUUUUGUCAGGGAAGAAACGGUGAGAGCUAAUAUCUUUUGCUAAUGACGGUACCUGAAGAAUAAGCACCGGCUAACUACGUGCCAGCAGCCGCGGUAAUACGUAGGGUGCAAGCGUUAAUCGGAAUUACUGGGCGUAAAGCGUGCGCAGGCGGUUUUGUAAGUCUGAUGUGAAAUCCCCGGGCUCAACCUGGGAAUUGCAUUGGAGACUGCAAGGCUAGAAUCUGGCAGAGGGGGGUAGAAUUCCACGUGUAGCAGUGAAAUGCGUAGAUAUGUGGAGGAACACCGAUGGCGAAGGCAGCCCCCUGGGUCAAGAUUGACGCUCAUGCACGAAAGCGUGGGGAGCAAACAGGAUUAGAUACCCCAGUAGUCCC